AUCCUUUGGCCGCAUGUAUAGUAAAAUUGGAACAAUACAGAGGUUAGCAUGGCCCCUGUGUAAGGGUGACAUGCAAAUUCAUGAAGCGUUCCAUACUUUU
rnacentral:snRNA from 1 species